UACGGAGGGUGCGAGCGUUGUUCGGAAUCAUUGGGCGUAAAGCGCGUGUAGGCGGCUUGGUAAGUCGGGUGUGAAAGCCCGGGGCCCAACCCCGGAACUGCAUUCGAAACUGCCUCGCUAGAGUCCCGGAGAGGAAGGCGGAAUUCCCGGUGUAGAGGUGAAAUUCGUAGAUAUCGGGAGGAACACCAGCGGCGAAGGCGGCCUUCUGGACGGUGACUGACGCUCAGACGAGAAAGCGUGGGGAGCAAACAGG
rnacentral:rRNA from 1 species